rnacentral:lncRNA from 1 species
AGGGAUCAUAAUAUAUCUCACUAUGAGACAGAAUAAAAUCUAUGGGGUUACAUAUAAAAAAAGUUCUUGUCUGAUCAGAUGGAUGAUUAAUGAUUAUAAAUCAUUGAAGGGUAUAAUCAUCAAUAUGAUUGAUGAUUAACUUUAUGCAAAAAUUACAAUUAAGUAAUUUGCUAAGUGUUAAUAAAUUAUAGGAGGAUUAAUUAGCAAUUGGAUUGCUAAUUAGCUUAAUUUGAUUGAGUAAUGAGGUUCGAAUCAAGUCUAAUUGAAUUGGAUUCAGUUUGACUUGGAUUGAAUUUGAUUGGAUCAAGUCUGAUUGGAAGGGAG